ensembl:lncRNA
GCAGGGGUGUCCUCACAGCAUGCAGGGUGUGGGUGUGACCCUCCCUGCUUGGUCCUGUCUCCCUCUGCUUCCAGGAUGGUGGAGGAGGUGACAGAAGUGGCUGUGCCCGACGCCCAGGCUGCCAUCAGUGCCUAUGCCAGGGGUCUGGGUGCCCUGCCAGCCCUGUUCCAGGGGUGUGCUCAGCAUUCCCCCACAGAUGGGCACUCAGCUGUGCAGGGGGCUGGCAGCCUCUUCACUCUCACCGUGGAGCGGGAGCUGGGGGGUGGCAGGCACCAGCGCUCGGCCCUCAGGAUCCUGCUGUCCCCAGGGGCCGGCGGGCCCUGCCCCAGGCCGUACGUACAGGGCUGAGCUCUGCUCCCCCUCCAGCACUCCCUGUGCCUGCUGAGGGCCAGGGAAUUCCAUCCCUGCAGGUGAAGCAGGAGGGACACCCCAGUGGGAGCCCUGGCUGGGGGCCAAGGGGGUGUCACUGCUCCUUGGGGAUAUGUGGGGCCAACCCAUCCCUGGGUCCCUGCCUGGCCUGGUAAGAGCCAGCUCUCUCCUGGGGUGUCUCCCCACGUGCAGGGAACCUGGAGCUGUCUGCCUGCCCUGGAUCGUGGAGCGACUGCUGGAGGGGAACAGCCUGACCUUCCUGCUGCUGUGUGUGUCACUGCCAGGACAGGGUGACAGCAGAAGCCAGGAAGGGGACAGCCAAGCUCUGGCCAGCACAGGGCUGCUGGAGGAGCCAUCCCAGAGCAAAGUGUCACAGCCACGGCCCGGGUGUGACAGCGUGAGUGGGAGCCCGCAGGGUCCCUGCACAGGGCCAGCUCUACUGCCAGCACUGGUGCCACCGAGCCCCUCUCCUCCCCUGCAGGCUGGGAGGCGGUGCCAGCCGUGCCCACUCCCGGAGGUGCAGCGGGCCCUGGCCAGGGCACGGCGGCAGCGGCUGCGGGCUCAGCACUGCCGGCAGCGCCAGCGGGAGCUCGGGGCCGGCUCUGUGCCAGCCCGGGAGCACAGCGGAGAGCGGGACACAGAGCGCUGGCAGCGGGAGGUGACCGCGCUGGGCCUGAGCCUGGAGGCAGCGCUGCGGGAGCGGGAGGCGGCCGAGUGGGAGCUGGAGGCUCUGCUGCUCAACCACCACCGGGAGAUGCAGGGCUGCCGACAGCACCUGCUGCAGGUGGGCAGGCCGGGCUGGGGACACCUCUCCCUCUCACACUGUGCCAGGGCUGUGCAGGGCUGUGCCAGACCGCCCCGGGCACCCCCAGGUGCUCCGGGACCAGCAGCGCCUGGCGGAGGAGCAGCGGGCGGGCCUGGAGCGCCGGCACCGGGAGCGGCUGCAGGAGGCGCUGCGGGAACUCGCCGAGCACAAGCAGCUCCUGAGGGACACCCCACGGGCAGGCACGGCCGGUGCCACCUCACAGACACCCUGAGGCACGGCCGGGCGUGGGGACAGCUGGCCUGGCACGACUGGGUCCCUGCACCGAGCCAGCAGCCAUGCCAGGAUACCGGGCAGCCCCAGGCACAGGAGUUAUCCCAGGCCUCUGGCUGUGCUCCCGAGGGAAAGCCUGCUCUGUGCUGGGACCCUGCCUGUGGGAGCACAGCUCAGCCUGCUGGGAGGCAGGCUUUGUUCUCCACACAGAAUAAAGUGGGUGCUCCUCAGCCGUGAGUGGUGUCAGGCUCAGACACACCCUGG